AGAAUGAACGCUGGCGGCAUGCCUAACACAUGCAAGUCGAACGAGACCUUCGGGUCUAGUGGCGCACGGGUGCGUAACGCGUGGGAAUCUACCCUUGGGUUCGGAAUAACAGUUAGAAAUGACUGCUAAUACCGGAUGAUGACGUAAGUCCAAAGAUUUAUCGCCCAGGGAUGAGCCCGCGUAGGAUUAGCUAGUUGGUGUGGUAAAGGCGCACCAAGGCGACGAUCCUUAGCUGGUCUGAGAGGAUGAUCAGCCACACUGGGACUGAGACACGGCCCAGACUCCUACGGGAGGCAGCAGUGGGGAAUAUUGGACAAUGGGCGAAAGCCUGAUCCAGCAAUGCCGCGUGAGUGAUGAAGGCCUUAGGGUUGUAAAGCUCUUUACCCGGGAUGAUAAUGACAGUACCGGGAGAAUAAGCUCCGGCUAACUCCGCGCCAGCAGCCGC
rnacentral:rRNA from 1 species